rnacentral:rRNA from 1 species
GCCUCUGGGUGCCAUAGCAGCCUAAGGGCACCCCGGUUCAGAAGCUAAGCAGGGUCGGCCUGUCUGGGAUUUUUAUGGGGUCCGCCUGGAAAGACAGCAACUGGAGGCU